UACGAAGGGGGCUAGCGUUGCUCGGAAUCACUGGGCGUAACGCGCACGUAGGCGGCUUUUUAAGUCAGGGGUGAAAUCCUGGAGCUCAACUCCAGAACUGCCUUUGAUACUGAGAAGCUUGAGUCCGGGAGAGGUGAGUGGAACUGCGAGUGUAGAGGUGAAAUUCGUAGAUAUUCGCAAGAACACCAGUGGCGAAGGCGGCUCACUGGCCCGGUACUGACGCUGAGGUGCGAAAGCGUGGGGAGCAAACAGG
rnacentral:rRNA from 1 species